rnacentral:rRNA from 1 species
AUUAGCUUGCUAAUUUGCUGACGAGCGGCGGACGGGUGAGUAAUGCCUGGGAAUAUGCCUUAGUGUGGGGGAUAACUAUUGGAAACGAUAGCUAAUACCGCAUAAUGUCUUCGGACCAAAGAGGGGGAUCUUCGGACCUCUCGCGCUAAGAUUAGCCCAGGUGAGAUUAGCUUGUUGGUGAGGUAAGAGCUCACCAAGGCGACGAUCUCUAGCUGGUCUGAGAGGAUGAUCAGCCACACUGGAACUGAGACACGGUCCAGACUCCUACGGGAGGCAGCAGUGGGGAAUAUUGCACAAUGGGCGAAAGCCUGAUGCAGCCAUGCCGCGUGUAUGAAGAAGGCCUUCGGGUUGUAAAGUACUUUCAGUCGUGAGGAAGGGUGUGUAGUUAAUAGCUGCACAUCUUGACGUUAGCGACAGAAGAAGCACCGGCUAACUCCGUGCCAGCAGCCGCGGUAAUACGGAGGGUGCGAGCGUUAAUCGGAAUUACUGGGCGUAAAGCGCAUGCAGGUGGUUCAUUAAGUCAGAUGUGAAAGCCCGGGGCUCAACCUCGGAACCG